rnacentral:sRNA from 1 species
CUUCCUGAGUGAGCGGUGGAGGGAACUCUAGAGGACAGAGCCCCCAGCCCGGCACCAGGCCCCCUCUCCGCCCGCCACCACGGAGGAGAAGGAGGACAGCCAGCCCCUCCGGCCCUGGCCUGGCCCAGCGGGGGCAGUAAGCUCCUAUCUGCCCCCAGCUUGGUGCCCACACGGGCCCAGCGCAUGAGCAGCCGAGCCUGCUGACCGCAGCUCCGCACUCGUCCAUCCCCCUGCGGCUACACCAUGUCCAGCUCCUACGAUGAGGCCUCACUGGCUCCAGAGGAGACCACCGACAGCUUCUGGGAGGUGGGGAACUAUAAGCGGACCGUGAAGCGCAUCGAUGACGGCCACCGUCUAUGCAACGACCUGAUGAACUGCGUGCAGGAGCGCGCCAAGAUCGAGAAGGCGUACGGGCAGCAGCUCACCGACUGGGCCAAACGUUGGCGCCAGCUCAUCGAGAAAGGCCCACAGUAUGGCAGCCUGGAGCGGGCCUGGGGUGCCAUAAUGACAGAGGCAGACAAGGUGAGUGAGCUGCACCAGGAGGUGAAGAACAAUCUGCUGAAUGAGGACCUGGAGAAGGUGAAGAACUGGCAGAAGGACGCCUAUCACAAGCAGAUCAUGGGUGGCUUCAAGGAGACGAAGGAGGCUGAAGAUGGCUUCCGCAAGGCCCAGAAGCCUUGGGCCAAGAAGAUGAAGGAGCUGGAGGCAGCCAAGAAGGCCUACCAUUUGGCUUGCAAAGAGGAAAAGCUGGCCAUGACACGGGAGAUGAACAGCAAGUCGGAGCAAUCGGUCACGCCUGAGCAGCAAAAGAAGCUGCAGGACAAAGUGGACAAGUGCAAGCAGGAUGUGCAGAAG